rnacentral:rRNA from 1 species
GGCGGUAGCACAGAGAGCUUGCUCUCGGGUGACGAGCGGCGGACGGGUGAGUAAUGUCUGGGAAACUGCCUGAUGGAGGGGGAUAACUACUGGAAACGGUAGCUAAUACCGCAUAACGUCGCAAGACCAAAGAGGGGGACCUUCGGGCCUCUUGCCAUCAGAUGUGCCCAGAUGGGAUUAGCUAGUAGGUGGGGUAACGGCUCACCUAGGCGACGAUCCCUAGCUGGUCUGAGAGGAUGACCAGCCACACUGGAACUGAGACACGGUCCAGACUCCUACGGGAGGCAGCAGUGGGGAAUAUUGCACAAUGGGCGCAAGCCUGAUGCAGCCAUGCCGCGUGUAUGAAGAAGGCCUUCGGGUUGUAAAGUACUUUCAGCGGGGAGGAAGGUGUUGAGGUUAAUAACCACAGCAAUUGACGUUACCCGCAGAAGAAGCACCGGCUAACUCCGUGCCAGCAGCCGCGGUAAUACGGAGGGUGCAAGCGUUAAUCGGAAUUACUGGGCGUAAAGCGCACGCAGGCGGUCUGUCAAGUCGGAUGUGAAAUCCCCGGGCUCAACCUGGGAACUGCAUUCGAAACUGGCAGGCUAGAGUCUUGUAGAGGGGGGUAGAAUUCCAGGUGUAGCGGUGAAAUGCGUAGAGAUCUGGAGGAAUACCGGUGGCGAAGGCGGCCCCCUGGACAAAGACUGACGCUCAGGUGCG